rnacentral:rRNA from 1 species
GACGAACGCUGGCGGCGUGCCUAAUACAUGCAAGUUGAGCGAUGAAGAUUGGUGCUUGCACCAAUUUGAAGAGCAGCGAACGGGUGAGUAACGCGUGGGGAAUCUGCCUUUGAGCGGGGGACAACAUUUGGAAACGAAUGCUAAUACCGCAUAACAACUUUAAACAUAAGUUUUAAGUUUGAAAGAUGCAAUUGCAUCACUCAAAGAUGAUCCCGCGUUGUAUUAGCUAGUUGGUGAGGUAAAGGCUCACCAAGGCGAUGAUACAUAGCCGACCUGAGAGGGUGAGCGGCCACAUUGGGACUGAGACACGGCCCAAACUCAUACGGGAGGCAGCAGUAGGGAAUCUUCGGCAAGGGGCGAAAGUCUGACCGAGCAACGCCGCGUGAGUGAAGAAGGUUUUCGGAUCGUAAAACUCUGUUGGUAGAGAAGAACGUUGGUGAGAGUGGAAAGCUCAUCAAGUGACGGUAACUACCCAGAAAGGGACGGCUAACUACGUG